GUGGCCCGGGAGCCGUGGGCAAGGGGCUAAGGGGAGGGGGUCCGAUGCCAGUUGCUUAAAAAUGCCCCAGUGGCAGUAAAGGGGGCCAGAGGCCGGGUCAAGUUAAUUGCGAAGCAGUGACACCCCCAACCAUUCCCCACACAGGCUGGCCCCCCAUCGUCAGGCCCAAGGAGCCACACCUGGACCGGACUCCAGGCGAGCUAUGAACUCCCAGAGAGAUGAAAACCUGUGCAACCUUGUGAGAUCACCCCGUGAGAGGAGCUGAGAUAAGAGCGGGAAGGGCGCUGGCUGGUGUGGGACAUGCAGAAGCCCAGAGAAGGAACCUCUCAAGGGCCAGAGGGAGCAGGUGGCGGGCAGUCCUGGCAGCAGAACUGGAUCGAGCGCUUCUAUCCAGAGGAGCCCUGACGUCAGACAGCCCCCAGUCCUGUCCCGCUCCCUCUCCGACUGGAUCCCUGCGGUUGAAUGACUGAGAGCUCCACACCCGCUCCCCUUCUGCAAAAUGGGAAUACGAAAGCUCCCGCCUCACAUGGCCGUCAGGAUCCAUCGUUACUGUCUACACCCUCAUUGGGCAGAUGCCUCCUCUUCUCCCGCCCCUCCAGAGCUUCCAGACAGAAGACGAAGGAUCCCCGGCAGGCCGGCUGGCGACAUUUCCUGAAGACAUGGGGAGAGGGAGGGAAAUGGCUGUCCCCCUGGGAUCAGCCACCCAGCCUGCCCAAAGCCCUCACUGAGCCUCUAGGUAAAAUGUCCACCUGGUUCAGCCUCCUCCUUUCAUAGAAGGAGAAGCCCAACGCCCUGGAGGAAAGUGACCUGCUGACAAACAGCCGAGCCAGCUGGUGACAGAACCCAGGCCUCCCAACCGACCACCUAGCUCAGGUCCUGACUGGCACCCUGGGGUGUGAAGGAGCCGCAGUGGGAAAGUUCCUUACCCCGGAGCCUUAAGGAGCCACAGGGAUCUUCUAGGACCAAGGAAUGGAACCUGCAACUUCUAGCCAGGGGUGGGAGAGACACAUAGCCACAGAGGAGCUGCAGCUUUGUCCAGUGUCACCCUCUCUGCCUCUGCCGCCCUUGUCUGCACACAGGAGUCAGCUGCCUGCUCUCCGCGCAGCCCUUCGCCCUGGGUGUGUUAGAAAUGCCCUCCGCGGUCCCGCGGCGCCGCAGCCUCUCCCGCGCCUGGUCUGGCCGGAUGACCGCCUCCGCCCUCGCCGCCCUUGCCGCCCUGGCCGACUGCUGGGAUUUGAAGGCGCUGGGCACUGUUUCUCAAACCCACCCAUGUAGAUGCCUCCGCUUAAAUUUUUGCACCUAGUCAUAGUAUUUUUAAAUGGAAGGUGAGUCCUUUGAGUACCUAAAUAGAAACAGUUACUGUAAAAUGGAAAGGAUAGCACUGUCCAAAGGUAAAAAUAAAUGUAGUGAAAAUGAAACAA